rnacentral:rRNA from 1 species
AGUGAACGCUGGCGGUAGGCCUAACACAUGCAAGUCGAACGGCAGCACAGUAAGAGCUUGCUCUUACGGGUGGCGAGUGGCGGACGGGUGAGGAAUACAUCGGAAUCUACUUUUUCGUGGGGGAUAACGUAGGGAAACUUACGCUAAUACAGCAUACGACCUACGGGUGAAAGCAGGGGAUCUUCGGACCUUGCGCGAUUGAAUGAGCCGAUGUCGGAUUAGCUAGUUGGCGGGGUAAGGGCCCACCAAGGCGACGAUCCGUAGCUGGUCUGAGAGGAUGAUAGGCCACACUGGAACGGAGACACGGUCCAGACUCCUAAGGGAGGCAGCAGUGGGGAAUAUUGGACAAUGGGCGCAAGCCUGAUCCAGCCGUACCGCGUGGGUGAAGAAGGCCUUCGGGUUGUAAAGCCGUUUUGUUGGGAAAGAACAGCAGCAGGUUAAUACCCCGCUGUUCUGACGGUACCCAAAGAAUAAGCACCGGCUAACUUCGUG